AGUUUUGUGAAGUGGCGAUAUUGUAACCGAUGAAGUAUAACUGAGGUGCAAUUAUUGCUAGUUGAAUAUAUCUCCAUAGGUGAGUGCUAUUCCCAUGAAAAAGAAAACUCUUUAAAAAAUUGGCAAGAAAGGAUUAUC